rnacentral:misc_RNA from 1 species
AGCAGUUCUGUGGAGCAGCGGUGGCCGGCUAGGAUGGGCUGUCUCUGGGGUCUGGCUCUGCCCCUUUUCUUCUUCUGCUGGGAGGUUGGGGUCUCUGGGAGCUCUGCAGCUUGUGUGAAGUCCACUGGAACCCAGGCUCACCAAGUCAGUCUUAACCAACACAGGCCCCAGCACCCGCAGAGCAGACACUGCGAUGACAACGGACGACACAGAAGUGCCCGCUAUGACUCUAGCACCGGGCCACGCCGCUCUGGAAACUCAAACACUGAGCGCUGAGACCUCUUCUAGGGCCUCAACCCCAGCCGGCCCCGUUCCAGAAGCAGAGACCAGGGGAUCCAAGAGAAUUUCCCCUGCAAGAGAGACCAGGAGUUUCACAAAAACAUCUCCCAACUUCAUGGUGCUGAUCGCCACCUCCGUGGAGACAUCAGCCGCCAGUGGCAGCCCCGAGGGAGCUGGAAUGACCACAGUUCAGACCAUCACAGGCAGUGAUCCCGAGGAAGCCAUCUUUGACACCCUUUGCACCGAUGACAGCUCUGAAGAGGCAAAGACACUCACAAUGGACAUAUUGACAUUGGCUCA